UCCAUGCCAUUCCCUUGGGUCCUGGCACUCUCACCAGAGAGCAGAGCUCAGUACUGCCCUCUGAGCUCCCUGUGAGGAGCUGUAACCACCAUGAGGCCUCCCCUCAUCCUCCUCUGUUCCAGACUGGACAAACCAAGGGAUCUCAGCUACUCCUCAUACAUCAUGCUCUCUAAAGCCAUCACCAUCAAGCUGAAGCAACCCCUUGAUAAGGUCUCAUUUGGCUUUAUCUGAGCCAGGUGUAACUUCUUUCCUCCUAGAUUGCUCAAAGCCAUGUUAUUUAAAACCAAAGGAGGUUGUGUAUGAUUUGGUUUGUAGAUAAAGGCCUGAGAAGUCUAGUUGGUGGGAGUCUGAUGAGUAAGGCAGUUGAUGGAGAGCUUCAGGACUGAGCUAAGACUUUGCCUGAUGAUUGUAGGCCAGCGAGAAGUUCUAAGGUUAUUUACAGCUAUGUGUGAGCAGUAAGUCAGGGUUUCAAAGAGGAAGAAGGUACUGCUCAUCUGCCUGUAAUGAAAAUGGUGUAUGCUACUUCCUUUGAUUCCUACUGAGAAUUCAAAUCCUGGUAAGUCUUAUUCUGAAAAUCAGCAGUGAUAGUCAAUGUUCUCCUUGCAUAGGAUGUCUUGUUUCCUCUUCUUCUACUAGCUGUAUACACACAAGGGGAAGUCCCAGGAAGCCUCCAAAUUACUUGCCUUAAGCCAUAAAAUACAGAUUCUCUAAGGAAAAAAGUUCACGAUGAUUAAAAUGGAUUAUGAACCUAGAAAGCAGAGCACAGAGCGUACAAUGGUUUAAAUUGUUGAAUUCCUACUGAAGUGUCCUGGGAAUUACUUCAUUCAAAAGCAGAGAUUCUGGGAUAUAUCUUUUGUUGGGUUUUGUUGUUGUUCUGUUUUAAAUUGCAACAAAAUUAAUUUGCUUUUACAAAAUCCAUUCUGUGCUGUGCAAAUCAAUACAUGUUUAAAGUACCUGAGUGGAAAGGCUAAUUUUGUCUUUAUCAUAACUAAUUUUUUAAUAUAAACUAAUGUCCAGUUGUAAAUUCAUUUUCAAAAAAACUGCUUGAAAGCACUGAUUUAAUCUGAUAAGUAAUGCAACAAUUAACUGCUUUUGCUACUUGCAAGUCCAAAAUAAUAGCUAGAAUCUAUGUUAGUGAUGCUUUUUCAUUGGAAAUAAAUGCUUUUGCUCUGUUUUG
ensembl:lncRNA